rnacentral:rRNA from 1 species
CCUACGGGUGGCAGCAGUGAGGAAUAUUGGUCAAUGGACGAUAGUCUGAACCAGCCAAGUAGCGUGAAGGAUGACUGCCCUAUGGGUUGUAAACUUCUUUUAUAUGGGAAUAAAACAGGGUAUGCAUACUCCUUUGUAUGUACCAUAUGAAUAAGGAUCGGCUAACUCCGUGCCAGCAGCCGCGGUAAUACGGAGGAUCCGAGCGUUAUCCGGAUUUAUUGGGUUUAAAGGGAGCGUAGGUGGAUUGUUAAGUCAGUUGUGAAAGUUUGCGGCUCAACCGUAAAAUUGCAGUUGAAACUGGCAGUCUUGAGUACAGUAGAGGUGGGCGGAAUUCGUGGUGUAGCGGUGAAAUGCUUAGAUAUCACGAAGAACUCCGAUUGCGAAGGCAGCUCGCUGGACUGUAACUGACACUGAUGCUCGAAAGUGUGGGUAUCAAACAGGAUUAGAUACCCUUGUAGUC